rnacentral:pre_miRNA from 1 species
GAUAUACUCCCUCCGUUCCAAAAUAGAUGACCCAAGUUUGUACUAAAGUUAGUAUAAAGUUGGGUCAUCUAUUUUGGAACGGAGGGAGUACAUG